rnacentral:rRNA from 1 species
UACGUAGGGGGCAAGCGUUAUCCGGAAUUAUUGGGCGUAAAGCGCGCGCAGGUGGUUUCUUAAGUCUGAUGUGAAAGCCCACGGCUCAACCGUGGAGGGUCAUUGGAAACUGGGAGACUUGAGUGCAGAAGAGGAAAGUGGAAUUCCAUGUGUAGCGGUGAAAUGCGUAGAGAUAUGGAGGAACACCAGUGGCGAAGGCGACUUGCUGGGCUGUAACUGACACUGAGGCGCGAAAGCGUGGGGAGCAAACAGG